CCUCUCGUCCCCUGAUCAAACUGCAAUUAGUCCCCCGUUUGUUUCUCAUUCCCAUCCCGAGAUUGUCGUCCGAGAUUCCCAUCCAGAGAAUCGUAGUCCUGUAACGGACUCCAUUCCAUUUGAAAUUUUGGCUCCCUAUUUUCCUAAAUCCCUAAACGGCGACAAAUCCAUAGCAGUCUGGCCGUCCUCCAUUGUUGCGAAAUCUAUUUAAUCUAAUGGUCGUAUGCAGUCCCCCAUUCAAACCAAAUGAGGGUUUAUCCGGAAGAUCCCAAAAAGCCACAAAUCGAUCCAGUCAUAUUUUGCUGAAGCAAUCGACGGAGGAGGGGAAGAAAUCGAGAUGGCCAGAUUUCCCUCAACUGCGGUGUUAUUGUUUGCUAUAUCAUUCGGCAAUACUAUCAAAACGAACCCAUUUUGAAGACGCUACCAAAGGAUGCGGUCCGAUAUAGUUAAAGCAUUCAUUAGUGGUGAACAUAAUCCGUGGACACUAGAAGCAAUCUGAAGAAGCUGAGCACCGGAUGUUGGUGGUGUAGAAUGUCCCCACAGGAUGAUGCUACCAGUCUUCAGCCUAUGCCUUUGAGGACAAGUUUAGGGAUAAUACUACAUAUGUUACUAGUUUUUAGAACUAAGUAGAACUUUUUCUGGGUUAUAUAUGUUUUGGCAAUUGUGAUACUGACUAGCCAAGUAGAAUCAGUUUGGUGGAUAAUUCCUUAUUUUGCAUGUACCAAGUUGGUGUUUCAAUUAA